rnacentral:tRNA from 1 species
AGGUUUUCACUGGGUAAUGUAAAGUUUUGAAAACUUUUUAGAAGUGUUCGAUUCACUUAAAACCUU